GACGAACGCUGGCGGCGUGCUUAACACAUGCAAGUCGAACGGAAAGGCCCUUUCGGGGGUACUCGAGUGGCGAACGGGUGAGUAACACGUGGGUGAUCUGCCCUGCACUUCGGGAUAAGCUUGGGAAACUGGGUCUAAUACCGGAUAGGACUACGGCAUGCAUGUGCUGUGGUGGAAAGCUUUUGCGGUGUGGGAUGGGCCCGCGGCCUAUCAGCUUGUUGGUGGGGUGAUGGCCUACCAAGGCGACGACGGGUAGCCGGCCUGAGAGGGUGUCCGGCCACACUGGGACUGAGAUACGGCCCAGACUCCUACGGGAGGCAGCAGUGGGGAAUAUUGCACAAUGGGCGCAAGCCUGAUGCAGCGACGCCGCGUGGGGGAUGACGGCCUUCGGGUUGUAAACCUCUUUCACCAUCGGCGAAGCCUCAUGCUUUUGUGUGGGGUGACGGUAGGUGGAGAAGAAGCACCGGCCAACUACGUGCCAGCCGCCGCCGUAACAC
rnacentral:rRNA from 1 species